UACAGAGGUCCCAAGCGUUGUCCGGAAUUACUGGGCGUAAAGAGCUCGUAGGUGGUUUUGUCGCGUUGUUCGUGAAAAACUCACAGCUCAACUGUGGGCGUGCGGGCGAUACGGGGCAGACUAGAGUACUGCAGGGGGAGACUGGAAUUCCUGGUGUAGCGGGUGAAAAUGCGCAGAUAUCAGGGAGGGAAACACCCGGGUGGGCGAAAGGGCGGGGUCUCUGGGGCCCGU
rnacentral:rRNA from 1 species